rnacentral:rRNA from 1 species
GACGAACGCUGGCGGCGUGCUUAACACAUGCAAGUCGAACGGAAAGGCCCUGCUUUUGUGGGGUGCUCGAGUGGCGAACGGGUGAGUAACACGUGAGUAACCUGCCCUUGUCUUUGGGAUAACUUCAGGAAACUGGGGCUAAUACCGGAUAGGAGCUCCUGCUGCAUGGUGGGGGUUGGAAAGUUUCGGCGGUUGGGGAUGGACUCGCGGCUUAUCAGCUUGUUGGUGGGGUAGUGGCUUACCAAGGCUUUGACGGGUAGCCGGCCUGAGAGGGUGACCGGCCACAUUGGGACUGAGAUACGGCCCAGACUCCUACGGGAGGCAGCAGUGGGGAAUAUUGCACAAUGGGCGGAAGCCUGAUGCAGCAACGCCGCGUGCGGGAUGACGGCCUUCGGAUUGUAAACCGCUUUCGCCUGUGACGAAGCGUGAGUGAGAGUAAUGGGUAAAGAAACACCGGCUAACUACGUG